AGAGCUGGCCUCCCUGCUCUGAGGACUCUGGCUCCGUGACACGCCUCUGUUGCUCACUCUUUGGUCAGCAGUGUGGCCUGUGCUGUGGAUUGAUCUUUAACGCUCUUUGCCACACUGGACGCUAGAGCGAGGCUUUCUUCCGCAUCCUUGAACCACAGAUGGGCAGAGUGAGGAGCACCAGCUGUGGGCACGGGUUUCCCGGGCAUCAUGUUUGUUCCUCAGACAGCAGCAGCUCCAUGUGGUGGGCAGCCGACCCUGGCCCUGCUGCGUUUAAUUAAGCAGGGACAUCUGUCUUCUGAUUUCGUCCAAGUCCAGAUGCCUGCGAACCAGACGGAGUCAUUCCACAGCCUUCCAAAUCUCCUGGCCUGACAGUGGAUCGUGGGACCUCCCAGGCCCUGAACACAGGAGCCGAUUCCCACAAUAAAUCUCUCCUUGCAUAUA